GGAGGUGGGGAGUAGAUGCUGUGUUGUCUGUGCGGGGGUGUUAGGACCUCAGCAGGCGGCAGCUGAGCUCACUGAUGCUAUACCAGCCUUCCCACCCCUUCUCUCCCCUUUUCAUUACAGAGGGGACACCCAAGGCACGUGGCGACCAACGUGGGGUGCAAUACUCCUCACCUUGCUCCUCCCCGCCCGAGAUCCGCAGCCCAGCUCCUCGGACGUCUUCCACCCACCUGCAUAUUCAACUUGCACCAGCCGCCCAGUAUAAAGUCCCUUGGCUGCUGCAAAAUCUUUGACCUAAGCCACCGGAGCUAGAGCUGGGACCUGAGAAAGUCAACCUGCCUGACAUCAGCGAUGUCCCACGAGGUCAGCGUGGCGUAUCGGUGACAUCACGGCAGGUCAGGACAAGGCGACUUGUAUGGAGCAAAUGUGAAUACAUUUGAAUGAAAAUAUCUGAAUCACCGAAUGCCCAUUUUCUGCAAAAUGCUACCCCUUUAAUCUUUCUGGCCGCAAGAGAGAGACCCACCUUGGAAGUGUCUCCUUAUACGAUGCUGAGUUUGUAAAGACCAGAAGCUAAGAAGUAACAGGCAGAGGGUGGAAGGGAACUGUUCCGAAUUUGUUCAGAAAACCUCUCUUGGCAAACAUUGCUUGCAACAAAAGGGGCGAUGGAUGCGGCGAUCGCCAGGUCAAGGAUGGGUGGUGUUUGUCCCUGCCAAUCGAGGGAUCCACCCGCUUGUGGCGAGCAGCAGCUCUAUGGGAAGUCCAGCAAAUUAAGGAAAACAAAUGUCUCCCCAUCCACUAGGACCUCAGUAAUCAGAAAACAAGGGCUGGAAGGAACCUCAGGAGAUCAUCCAGUCCAACCCCCUGCUCCAAGCAGGACCAGCCCCAACUGCAUCAUCCCCACGUCACCAUCUCCUAAAGUUAUGCAAGGCCUUUUGGAUUCAUGCGCGUAACCUUCGACCGGUGACUUCAGUCCGGAGGAAGUUGGCAAACCGAGUGGAGCUUGCAAGAAAUCCUCAGUAAACAUCUUGUGAUAGAUCCAGCGCAGAAGGUCCCUGGCUUUGAUCUCCUGCAACACUCGUGAGCAACUCGAAACUGCAUCUGCACUAACCAUGGGAGAUGCGGAUACUGGAUGCACAAAUGGGAAAUUAAAAACUCUCCGGUGUGCGACGGUGGUCACCUGGAACAGAGCAGGGAACAUAUAACGACUCAAUGUCCGAUCCACAAACACGACGGAUGUGUUGCUGCUCCUGGUGCGAUUGUCUGGCUCAACCACCUACAUGUAAAAUCCUAGCUGCUGUUCUGUAUCUACAUCAGCCAUUUGAAAGGAGGAGGAGGAGGAAUCACAGCUCUUCUAGCAAGCUCCAGUGGCCAUGGAUAUAUAUACAUGGAAAUGCUUGACUCGAAGGCAGCUUGUUUCUACCCACUCCAGACUUGUGAGGGAUGGAGCCAGGGUACCAGCUCUUCCACCUGGUCGAUGACGACCCUCCCCAAGAUCCUGGGCCCUGGAAAAGAUGGUGCUGGCAGGUGCUGUCUGUUGUGCCCUUGAAGCCCAAACCUGUGCGUGCCGCCCUCCGUCCCUGCCGCCAGGACCUGAUGUGGGCAGCCCAUGCCGCUGGCAGAAGAGACGGCUGCGGGUGCAGCUCCCUGGCUGGAGGCAAGGGGAGCGAGGAAUAGGAGGUUGCUCUCAUGACGUCCAGGAGGGAGCAGGGAUGGAGCAGCAAUCGCAUGGUUGUGGACAGCUCUCAGCAAGUGGAGAAGGAGGUUGGAUUAUGCAGAGACAGAUAAUCAGCAUUUGCCUCUGGGCAGGGGUGGAGGACCGCACAAAGACAGCCCAGGAGUCCAGGCUUGUUGCGGGGUCCGUGCCGAGCGCGCCCUCCGGAGACCUGCCUUCUGCAAAUCCAAGACCAUCCCUCCGACGCCGACACCAGUGUCCUUCCAAGGCACCCUCCCUGGCUUGGUGCUGUUUCUCCGCAUCGGGUUUGCAGAACCGUCCAUUUUAUUGCCAUAGCCCUGCUCCCACGUCCCACCCAGAACAGCCGCAGGCUCAUGAUCCCUUCAUUAGGGCCCUCGGGGCCUUCUCCGGGCCACAGCGCGAAGGUCAAGUGCUUUGCUCAAAGUGCAUCUCGGUGGAAGAGCCUCCGCAGGUGCCAUGAUGCGGGAACAGCCUGCUCCGAGGAUAUGGACCUGGGAUGGAAACGGGAGACCCAGAGCGGCCGCGGGGGCACGGGCCGUGCCUGGCAUGCUGGGCAGGCCUUCGGAGGGCUGAGCAAGACCGAUGAGGACACGGGAGCUGCAGGGAAAGGAGCUCCUCCAGAAAUCGAAGUGGAUUUGAGGCCGCGAGGCGAUCUUGCUGCCUGCUCCUGCCAUGGGAAGUCUUGUUCCACGGGGUCGUGACUGUGAUUCACGUCCCUGCUUUGCCAGGGAUUUUUCCUUUCCUCUGUUGUGUCCUGGCUCUGACUUCUUCACUCUGUGGAUUCCCACGUGGGCCUUAAUGGGACUGAAUUAGCCGCCCCGGAGGCACUCGCUGAUGGGCCUUUAGACUUGGAAAUUCUCCUCUUGGCCGGGUGACUUUCAGGCCGGAUGCUUCAGGGCAAAUAGCUUAGUGGUUUGGGGUCAUGCAGUAGCUUGAUUUUUUUUUUUUUAAUUUUUUUUUUAAUUAUUAUUAUUAUUAUCCUGCUCUCUAAAGGGCCAAGUGUUUUCCUGUUUCCACGGAGGCAGCGCUGGAAUUUUUUCUUACGUCUUCGGGUCUCAGUCCUGGAAGCGUGGAUGGUUUGACCAGGCAAGGAAAGCAUGUUGCUCACACGCUGCAGCCUUUUGCAGUGGGAAUAAUAAAAGCAAAGCCACGCGGUUUUUCGUUCUUCUCUUUUUUUCGGAGCAGAGCGCCACGAGGAUCACACCGGGGUUCGAACAGUUUGGUGAUGUGGUCUCGCGAGUCUGAUGCUGCGAGGUGAGCAGCUGUGGGAGGUCCCAGAUGCUCCGGUGCUUCAAGCCCAGGAGAGGCCAUCGAUCCCAGGAGGAUCCACCGUGUUUCUAUAGGUGCUGCUCCAUUUGGAGAAUAUAUGAAGCUCGGCGUGUGGCCCGGUGAAGCAACACCUUGGACCCACAACCACAGCUGCAGGGACAUCAAGGUGACAGUGAUGGCUUCACCCACAGAAACACUUCUUAAUAAAUACAUUUUCUGCCUUAUUCGUGCCUGGUCUUUUCCAUCUGCCUUAACUCAGAGACCUCCACGCUGAGGCCCUGCAGUGCGUGAGGCUGACUAUAAAGGCUGUGCUUGGACAACCUUGGCCCAAACCAAGCAAAACUGCAUAUGUACCAAGCACAACUGCAUAUGUACCAGCCUGGCUGGGCCAAAACAGGUUUCCCUGUCCCAUCUCUUACCUGUGACUUUAAGCACCCCUAAUGGCCAUUACAAUUUUAACUCCCCCCCUUCAAGUGCCUGUUUUUUUCCUCCAGCUCUACAUGUGUUUCCUACCCUAUAGUGUCCAUGCAAAUGGCAAGGAGUUACCAUGUACGUAUACAAUAAAAGGGAGAUCCUAAAUGA